ensembl:lincRNA
GCUUAAUUACAGUUUGCUUUUCCAAUCUGAUAAAGUGACAGAAGUCCUAGUUGCUAUUUCACCUUUGCAAACUUGACCUUCCUAAAAUUAGAGUGGGCCACCUGGAAAUAUUUACUCACCUAGCUGAGCUGCUGCCAGUGUCCACGCGAGUCCACAGGACUCGUGAACAGCGGCACUCAGCCCAUGCCUUGGAGCUGCUCCCACAGAGGGCAGAACCUUUGGACUCUAUUAGGACAUGAGGGAGGCAGCAAUUCACUGAUUUAAAAAAAAUACACACAGAACUGCCCCCAGGCUUUUCUGUCGGGCUUUUUCCCUCCAAGCAGCGAUUUGGGAACAGGUUGUGGGGGGAUCUUUGUGGACAGGCAAAAGUGGAUGCAAAUCAAGAUUGCUGCUCUCUUAUCAGUCCAAUGGAAUCUACGUGCUAAACCACCAUGUCUUCAAGUCACCAAUGGAACUUAUUACCCAAGGGGAUCCAGGAGUAGUGAGGAAAGAGACCAAUUAAUAGCGUGGAUGAAAGCUGAAGGACAGACGGUUUGCUUGAGAAGAAAAGUGAACAUUCUUGCUUCCUCAUCUAUGCCAACUUUGAACAGGGACAGCUGCUGCCACAGCUGCCAAAAGGGGGGAAAAAAUCAAGAGCUGCUCUUAAAAGAAGUUGCCCUUGCUGGUGCUCAGGGUAAAAAUAGAGGCUGCCGCUUAGACCGGCUUGGCCCUGGCUCCAGGCAUCCUGCGAGCUGGGCUCGAGCAGCGGCCGCGUUCCGGCGUGAUCCCUGGAAGCUGCCAGCAGGUGCUGCUCAAGGUACAGUAGCAGGGCCGAGAAGCCGGGACCCGAAGGGCCUGGGGUGCGGGGAAGCUCCGGGGGAGGGGGAAGUGAAAGAGAAACCAAACCAAGGAAGGAGAAGGAGAUUCUGGUCAGGACUGGGCUGA